UUCUAGCCCCGAUAGUAGUGGAAAUCCUUUUUAUCUCAUUUUUUUUGAGAUAAAAAGAUUGAAACGAAUAGCGGGAAAUAGC
rnacentral:sRNA from 1 species